UCACCAAAUUUAAGGGUUUUUGUCCCUGUAUAAUUUAUUAAUAUCCCGUGGGGAAGCUUUUAGUAACUGCGUUUAUGCUCUGAGAAGGUCCUGCAUGCCUUUUGGGAUAACAAGGAAGAAUUGUUAUUAAAGUGUUGCAACGACGCUCUUUACUUGGAGGAGAUUACCGAGUUGGCAUUUACGAAAGAAAAUUUUGAUCAAUUCUACUUGGACUCUGAUCUUGAGGAUAAUAAAGAGGAUUAAUAUUUAAUUGCUUCAUCAUUUUGCAGCUAUACAAAAUAACUUAAUAAAAUCGACGUUUCUUUAUAGGGGGUAUAGAAUUGCAACCUUGCCGAGUUCUUAGUCCGACACUCUGACACUCCCGUCACGCAGGCUAGGAGCGCA